rnacentral:lncRNA from 1 species
UGGCAUGACAUUAAUUAUAAAUCUGUGAAUUUAUGUGUAGCUGUGUGAUAUUUUAUUGAAAUAUUUUUCAAUUAAAGGUCAUAUUGAAGUCUGAUGAGAUGAUUGUUUUGGCAUUGGCUGAUUUCGAGUGUGGCAGCAGCUCUUUCAGUGGGAAUUUUAGUGGUGUCAGCACUUCUCGAACAGAGUUUCUGAAAAAGUGGAGCAAGCUGAGUGAGAAUGAUGUUAGAGAACAGAGUGUAGAAGCAGAAAUGGUGCCGGCGAAGCUGUCUGUAAAUGGUCUCAUUGAAACUGUUCUCAAAGACAACUUUAUUGGUA